rnacentral:lncRNA from 1 species
CACUUGAUAAUGAUGCUAUACAAUGUAUUUAUAACAUCUUAUACUUUUAAUUGUUAUUUUAGAGUAUACUCUUCUACUUAUAAAACAAUAGUUAACUGUAAAACAGCCUCAGGCGGUUCCUUCGGGAAGUAUUCCAGAAGGCAUUCUGCUCACAUUUUUUGGUGGAAAUAAUUCUUGGGUGGCAAAAAUUCUAUUCUGUGUACAACAGGGAUUGAAUUUUAGCAGGCUGCUAGGUGUUUCUAUCCCAUUAGAUAAACGGAAUAAUCCAAAUGUGGCCUAGAGAAAAGCCUUUGGAAACAGCAGACUUGGAUUCAGGUUUCGCCCCUUCCAAACUGAUGUCGGGUAAUUCUGAUACCCUGACUCAGCCUCCUUGUUUUUAUUUGUUUUGUUUUGGUUUUCUUUUUCUGAGAAAUCAAAGAAAAAAUGAAGUAACCAAUGAACUAACAAAAACAACCUGUUUUUAGCUGAGAUGAGAGGAGCUAAAAUUGGUAGAUUUAUCUGUAGCAAGACAAAAUCUUUCUUUGGUUUUGGUUUAAUGGUAGUACUGAAGAUUUUAACCUAAUGAUACUUUGGUAAGAAACCUUUUAGAGCAUGAGAACUGUCAAGUUAGAAUUCUUUGCUUAAAGAAGAAACUAGCAUCAGAGUGAACAGGCAACCUACAGAAUGAGAGAAGAUUUUUGCAAUCCACCCACCUGAAAAAAGUCUAAUAUCCGGAAUUUACAAGGAACUUAAACAAAUUUACAAAAAAAAAAAAAAAAAAAAGCCCCAAACAACCCCAUCAAAAAGGUGGACAAAGGAAAAAGGAUAUGAACAGACACUUCUCAAAAGAAGACGUUUAUGCAUCCAACAAUCAUAUGAAAAAAGAGCUCAUCACUGGUCAUUAAAGAAAAGCAAAUCAAAACCACAGUGAGAAACCAUCUCAUGCCAGUUAGAAUGGCGAUUAUUAAAGUCAGGAAGCAACAGAUGCUGGAGAGGAUGUGGAGAAAUGGGAACACUUUUAGACUGUUGGUGGGAGUGUAAGUUAGUUCAACCAUUGUGGAAGACAGUGUGGUGAUUCCUCAAGGAGCUAGAACCAGAAAUACCAUUUGACCCAGCAAUCCCAUUACUGGGUAUAUACCCAAAGGAUUAUAAAUCAUUCUACUAUAAAGACACAUGCGGGACAGGCACGGUGGCUCAAGCCUGUAAUCCCAGCACUUUGGGAGGCCGAGGCGGGUGGAUCACGAGGUCAAGAGAUCGGGACCAUCCUGGUCAACGUGGUGAAACCCCGUCUCUACUAAAAAUACAAAAAAUUAGCUGGGCAUGGUGGUGCGUGCCUGUAAUCCCACCUACUCGGGAGGCUGAGGCAGGAGAAUUGCCUGAGCCCAGGAGGCGGAGGUUGCAGUGAGCCGAGAUCGCGCCAUUGCACUCCAGCCUGGGUGACAAGAGCGAAACUCCGUCUCAAAAAAAAAAAAAAAAA